rnacentral:tRNA from 1 species
GGGCGGACGUAGCCAAGUGGAUUAAGGCAGUGGUGUGAUCUCUACGCGCGGUCAU